rnacentral:rRNA from 1 species
UACGUAGGGCGCAAGCGUUGUCCGGAAUUAUUGGGCGUAAAGAGCUCGUAGGCGGCUUGUCGCGUCGACUGUGAAAUCCCGCGGCUCAACCGCGGGUCUGCAGUCGAUACGGGCAGGCUAGAGUUCGGUAGGGGAGACUGGAAUUCCUGGUGUAGCGGUGAAAUGCGCAGAUAUCAGGAGGAACACCGAUGGCGAAGGCAGGUCUCUGGGCCGAAACUGACGCUGAGGAGCGAAAGCGUGGGGAGCAAACAGG